GGAACUGCCUAAACUCCAUGGGUCAUUGACAUGAAACAGGUAAAGAAAAAUAAAGGCGGGAAAGAAAACAUUCUCAGGAGGGUGGUAAAGGCAGUAGAAACAAAGGGACUGACCAGUGUGUGCCACCCCUUCCCCAGAGACUGUUCUGUGGGAGCAGCUGCUGCCCAGGACAAAGAGGAAAACAGGUGUCCCUGCCUACUUUACAUCAGACCCCAACAGAGAGCACAGAAUGGGUUCCAUGGGCCGCUCGAUAUGCUUCCCAGUAUUUAUGAGACCCCUGUCAGGCCUCUGAGCCCAAGCCAAGCCAUCGCAUCCCCUGUGACUUGGACAUAUACGCCCAGAUGGCCUGAAGUAACUGAAGAAUCACAAAAGAAGUGAAUAUGCCCUGCCCCACCUUAACUGAUGACAUUCCACCACAAAAGAAGUGUAAAUGGCCGGUCCUUGCCUUAACUGAUGACAUUACCUGGUGAAAGUCCUUUUCCUGGCUCAUCCUGGCUCAAAAAGCACCCCCACUGAGCACCUUGCGACCCCCACUCCUGCCCGCCAGAGAACAAACCCCCUUUGACUGUAAUUUUCCUUUACCUACCCAAAUCCUAUAAAACAGCCCCACCCUUAUCUCCCUUCUCUGACUCUUUUUUCAGACUCAGCCCGCCUGCACCCAGGUGAAAUAAACAGCCAUGUUGCUCACACAAAGCCUGUUUGGUGGUCUCUUCACACAGACGCGCACGAAAUUUGGUGCUGUGACUCGGAUCGGGGGACCUCCCUUGGGAUAUCAUUCCCCUGUACUCCUCUGUUCUUUGCUCCGUGAGAAAGAUCCACCUACGCCCUCAGGUCCUCAGACCGACCAGCCCAAGGAACAUCUCACCAAUUUUAAAUCAGGAGCUUGCUACACGUGCCGGAAAUCUGGCCACUGGGCCAAGGAAUGCCCGCAGCCCGGGAUUCCUCCUAAGCCACAUCCCAUCUGUGUGGGACCCCACUGAAAAUCGGACUGUUCAACUCACCUGGCAGCCACGCCCAGAUCCCCUGGAACUCUGGCCCAAGGAUCUCUGACUCCUUUCCAGAUCUUCUCGGCUUAGCGGCUGAAGACUGACACUGCCCGAUCGCCUCGGAAGCCCCCUGGACCAUCACGGACGCCGUUAACUCUCACAGUGGAAAACUCAGCCCGCCUGCACCCAGGUGAAAUAAACAGCCGUGUUGCUCACACAAAGCCUGUUUGGUGGUCUCUUCACACAGACGUGCAUGAAAACCCCACCACCCCAAGGACAGGGACUGUAAACUCCCAACGGGGUAUCCUUGCCUGCUGCCUAGAUGGAGCUGAUUUAUCAAGAUAGGGGAAUUGCAACAGAGAAAGACUUUAAUUCAUGCAGAGCCAGCUGUAUGGGAGACAGGAGUUUUAUCAUUCCUCAAAUCAGGAUAAUUUAGUAGGUAGGGGGUCAGAAAGUGGGGAUUGCUGAUUCAUCAGGUCAGAGAUGAAAUCAUAGGAAGUCGAAGCUGUCCUCUUGCUCUGAGUCAGUUCCUGGUUGGAGUCCACAAGACCAGAUGAGCUAGUUUAUAGAUCUAGGUGGUGCCAGCUGGUCCAUCGAGUGCAGGUUCUGCAAAAUAUCUCAAGCACUGUUCUUAGGUUUUACAAUAGUGAUGCUAUCCCUAGGAGCAAUUUGGGAGGUUGAGAAUCUUGCAGCCUCCAGCUACAUGACUCCUAAAUCAUAAUUUCUAAUCUUGUAGCUAAUUUGUUAGUCCUAAAAAGGCAGUCUAGUCCCCAGGCAGGAAGGGGGUUUGUUUUGAGAAAGGGUUGUGAUUGUCUUUGUUUCCAUGCUAAACUAUAAACUAAGCUGCUCCCAAAGUUAGUUCAGCCUACGCCCAGGUAUGAACAAGGACAGCUCGGAGGUUAGAAGCAAGAUGGAGUCGGUUAGUUCAGAUCUUUGUCACUGUAAUUAUUGUCUCAGUUAUAAUUUUUGCAAAGGCAGUUUCAGGACCAGUCUAUAUUUCAGAGUGCUGAUCAGAGGCUAAAGGUUCUGGAAGAAAUAAUAAGGAAGCAGCAGCUAGCAGUUAGGCAAUGAAUUUCCCUAAUAACUCACUCAAGUGUUAGAGUGAAAUACUAAAAUCCUCUUCCUUCCUCUGGAGAAAAGAGAAAUCUCUGUGCCGGCUUCCCAAUAAGAGGACUGUUAGAACUGGUGAGUUCCUUUCUGAGACAGAGUGAUGUAUAAUAAAAUGAAGUUAAGUUUCAAGAUGCUGUUGCUCAGUGCACAGAUUUUUGCUGCUGCUUCUCAGCGUUUCACGGGUGUCCAUAAUUUGGUAGAGGGGUUAUAUGAAUGGAAGACGGAAAGGGUAAGGAUUUUUGUAAAGAGCAUCAAGUAUUUAUUCCCUCAAGGGUUCAAAUGUGGGUGCUCUUGAAGGUGGGUCUGGUCCCACUCCUCACUGCAGGCCAACAAGGCUGUGAUUAUUUGCCUUCUGAAGUCCUGUGUUAGAAAAAUGGUUUUCUACAUUUUUAUCAAGGCCAGAAUCCCAAGAAGCACAUUAGAGGUAAUUCUAAAUUAGAAGUGGCAGUGGUAGGGCUUAUUUGUAACAAAAAGCAUGACCUAAACUGCUGGAUAUCAUCCUAUUCCUAAUGAAAAAUGGUUGGGCACAUGCAGUGAAUUUCUCUGCUGUCCAGCCCCGCCCAGGUUUGUGUCUGUUCCACUUAUUACUGCCUCUCUUGGGUGGCCAAGGACCCUACCUUUUGUCCCACUCAAAAACCAGGGUGGUUUUUGAGCGGGACAGGUAGAUGGGAGCUCUGUGGAGUCUCAGGUUGCAGACAGGUGUUCUUCUGCUGAGGGCUGAACCCCAGGCAGCUGUGGAAGAAAGCCUCCGUCCUGGCACAGGUGAGAACUGCCUCAAAGGCUCUUUGCUUGGGUAAUGAAAAAAGAAAGAAAGACGGCCACCUGCAGCUUUGGCUUGGCUUCCAUGUGGCUCUUGGCCACUGGCCAUGCUCUGUCACCUCUGCAUUCUUUUCUCCCCUCCUAGUAACCCAGAUCUGGCCCUUCAAGGGUACCUCCCACCUAAGUUUUUCUGUUUUCCAAGAGGUAGGGUGGGCAACAUCUUCUACCCUACUUCCCCCUCCCCCACAACACACACGGUUUUCUUCUUCACCUUUGUUGUUGCAUAAAUUCACAAGUGGGACACUUAGUUCCUCUCAAAGCCUUUACUUUUAAUCCAAAUGAACCCUACAAGUAAAUAAAGAAACAAACCUGUAAUUAACCAUUUAUUUCCCUUAUAGUUUUAGAUACAGCAAUCCCAAUUCUUCUUGUAUCAAUGUGGAAGCCUCUAGCAACUACAAAGAGUAUCAGGAAAUAUGAGGAAGGAAGAAAAGCAUAGAAAUUAAUAGAUCUCAUCUUGUACUAUCUAAUAGACACUAUUACAAAAGGAAUAAAUGGCAUGCAAUUGGCAGAAAACAAAUACCAAGAGGCAGUUAACAGCAUUACUUCAGGCUGGAUGUGGUGGCUUACUCCUGUAGUCCUAGCACUUUGGGAGACCUAGGCAGGAGGAUCCCUUGAGUCCAAGAGUUCAAGUUUGCAGUGAUCUAUGAUUGUACCAUCACACUCCAGCCUGGGUGACUGUGUGAGACUCUGUCUCUUAAAAAAUAAAAAAUUAUUAAAAAGACUACUUAUUUUCAAUAAAGCAUAGAUAAAAAAGUGCUUUGUCAAAACUUCUUUCAAUACCCGUAUUUGUAGCUAAAAUGAAAAAUUUAAAAAGAGGUUAAGAGAUACUUCCCUCAAGUUCUUUCAGUGGUUACAGUUAAUGUCACUAAAUCAUAACCUCAAAGCUACAACCGAACUUUAGCCAGCCUUCCCUACCCCACACAGGGUUGGGGAACAUAUCUAUAGCGAAGGUUGGUACUGCUUUGGAGCUUUGCAUGUCAGGAGUACCAGAUCCUUUAAAAAAUGUGGACCAUGAACCUAGCAUGUUCAUAUUUGUAAAUGGUUUAUAUUAAAAAUUAAUAUUAACAAAUAAGGUUUCUUUACUUCAUUCAACAAUUAUAUUUUGAGUUCUGCUCCAUGUCGUUCUUUAUUGUUAGCUGAUAGAGAUGAUAUAAUGACUAAAGAGUUCCUACUCAUUGGAGCUCUUAGUGGAGGAAACAGAUAAAUAAAAAGUAAAAAUAAAUACUUAUUUUCAUCAUUACUAUGAAGGGAAUAAAUAGGGUGAUAUGAUGAGUAAGAGAAUACCUGCCACAGGGGCAUUAUUUUAGAAAGUACAGUCUGAAGAGAAAGACCUCUCUGAGAAUAGUACAUUUUGAGUUAAGACAGGCCUGGAAGUACAAAGGUCCUGACACAAGAGCCAGUUUAGGAUUAGGACCGGAAGCAAUAUCAGUGCAGGGCUUGAGUCUUUGGCAAAAUGAGGGGAAGGAGGAGAGAGAUAAGGUUGGUCAGUAGGGAGGGACCAGACAAGGCCACAAAAAAGUUGACAUUUUAAUUCUAAUUUCAGUGGGAAGGCAUGGAAGAGAUUUUAGCAGAGAAGGAAUGUGAUCUGAAUUCCAGGUUUAAUGUCAACAAUUUCUAAAUUGUGCUCUAAUUAUUAAUAACCACAGCUUUAUCACCAAUGCGAUGACCAUGUAGACACCCAGAAAACUGUGGCGCACCUGCAUAUCAUCUUAGCCACUCAAGAGGCUCUUCCAAGUUUAGCCUCUUAAAGUUUGAAAAUUCUGCAUCAUCAGGAACUGAGUCGUUUCGGAAGUUAACAUGUAUCACAGAAUCCCAGGUAGAAAUGCUCCUUUCUUCUCCCUCUGGGUCAGCAGCUAGUGAGUGUCUUUCUCUCUGAUUAUAUCCAGGAAAGUAAGUAGCUCCUACAGCCAACCUAGCUACAUGAACUGACCCACCAGGUUAUACAGGACAGCAGUCACCAAACUUUUUGGCACCAGGGACUGGUGUC